rnacentral:rRNA from 1 species
UACGGAGGAUGCGAGCGUUAUCCGGAUUUGUUGGGUUUAAAGGGUGCGUAGGCGGACGCUUAAGUCAGCGGUAAAAUUGCGGGGCUCAACCUCGUCGAGCCGUUGAAACUGGGUGUCUUGAGUGGGCGAGAAGUACGCGGAAUGCGUGGUGUAGCGGUGAAAUGCAUAGAUAUCACGCAGAACUCCGAUUGCGAAGGCAGCGUACCGGCGCCCAACUGACGCUGAAGCACGAAGGCGUGGGUAUCGAACAGG